AAAAGCACUAAAAGUUCAAGGGCUCUUAGCCUCCGUUUGGUUCGGGGUUAAGGAAAAAGUAGCUAUUCUAGGAAUAGAGUUAAGUUCGGGGUUAAAGUAGGGUUAAAGUUUUUUUGUGUUUGGUUGGGGUUGGAGUUAGUCUAGAAUAAUGAAAAAUAGUGUUUGGUUGGAGUAGGUGGGAUAAGAAGAUAAUGAUUGAUAAAAAGGAUAAUGAUUGGUUUGGAUAGGUGUGAUAUGAAAGAUAGUGGGUUAUUAUGAAUAGAAAAUAGUGUUUGGUUGGAGUUUGGUGGGGUUAGGUGGGGUUAGCUAACCCGGAAUAAAUUAUUUGAGGUAGGGUUAGAUGGGUUAGCUAACCCCACCUAUUUUUUAGAGUGUUUGGGGAUAAAAUGGGGGUUAAGGGGUUAUUCCACCCCUUAACCCCCAACCAAACAAGGGCUUAAUGUUAAAAAUUUAAAGUUAGAGGGUCUAUUUCAAAAUGACCUAUUGGUGUGGGUUUUUCAUAUAUUUUUACCCACUAAUAAUUAGUGCAAAAAAUGUUAUUUUUAAAAUAUAGAAUGGUACUCAUGAAAUUACCCCAUAAUUGUUUGCUGUCAAAAUAACACUACAACUUUUUAAGGGUAAAUUAGUCAUUUUAUAAUUUAACUCUUAUUUAACUAAACUUUAACCAUGGUGAAGUAAAGGUCUGUUAGAAAAAAAAAGAAUAAUUGUGGUAAUUUUCUGUAUUUGAAAGGGUAUAUAUGAUAUUUUUUUAUUUUGUAAGAAUGUAUAUGAUAUUUACAUAUUUGAGAGGCUUAACGGUGAAAUUGUUCCAAAAUAAUAGUGACCGUUUGAAUAAAACUAGAGCGGUUCACCGGUUUGAUAGUUGAACCGUCGGUUUGUACAAU
rnacentral:lncRNA from 1 species